rnacentral:rRNA from 1 species
UACGGGGGGGGCAAGCGUUGUUCGGAAUUACUGGGCGUAAAGGGCUCGUAGGUGGCCAACUAAGUCGGACGUGAAAUCCCUCGGCUUAACCGGGGAACUGCAUCCGAUACUGGAUGGCUUGAGUUCGGGAGAGGGAUGCGGAAUUCCAGGUGUAGCGGUGAAAUGCGUAGAUAUCUGGAGGAACACCGGUGGCGAAGGCGGCAUCCUGGACCGACACUGACGCUGAGGAGCGAAAGCGUGGGGAGCGAACAGG